UCCCCUGUAGCUCAGUUGGUAAAGAAUCUGCUUGCAACACAGGAGACCUGGGUUCGAUUCCUGGAUCGGGAA
rnacentral:tRNA from 1 species